AGGCCUGAUUUGAGCAUGGAAUUCAAGCUUUCUUUCAGUGGCGAUCUGACUUGCAGCACUCAGGGCACAGUCUAAAGUGCCCCAGGACUAGGAGGAGCAGGAUAGCACUUUACGUGGAGCAUUGCACCCAUCCAGAGCUGGCCUGGGAGUCUCUGCAUCCUGCCAGACUUCAUCCACAACCUGGAUAGAGCACCUGCAGGACUUGCUUUAGUGGAAUACAUCUUCAUGGAACAACAAUAUGAAAGAUGUGAAGGACUUCCCACGUGGCUGGCAAUCUGAAGGGAAGAGACACAGAAGAUACUGCACCCCCUGUACAGUUUAGGUGACCUUCUUUAAAGUCUGCUGAUGAAAAGUGCUAAAUGUUAAG